GUUUCCAUAACAACAGUGCCAACUGGGGACCAAGUGUUCAAACACAGGAACCUUCUCAUUUAAAGAACCACAGAGGUCAAGCAGUCUUUGGUGCUGGGGCUGAUGUUGAAGGUGUUUGUUGGAUAGCCUGAGACGGUACCACUUGGAGUUUAAAUAGUCCGAGAUCUGAAAGAUGUCAAUUAUGCCAGAAGGUUAGGUGAGGGCUGAAAGGAAAGAGAGUCAUCUAUUGAGCAAACAGCAAGAGUCACCUUUAUACACAGAGCUUCAAGAUGUCUUCUAGAGCUGGAGAGCACCUCAAGACACCUCAAGUACAUUGCCCAAGCCAAUGAAGCGGCACAGCCAGAAUCCAAAGUCACCUUUAUCUGUUUUCCCAAUCACCGUUCUUCCGAAUAUCCACAUGAACAGUAUUAGUUCAAAGAUAAAAGGGCGAGUCUGGGAGCCAUAGAAUGCGCAGGUUCUCCUGUGCAACCUCCAGGUAUCGCCAGGAACUUCCUAGUUCCUCCUUCUUGAGGGGUUUACUCUUCCCUGAUUCAGCCAGGGUUUAUCGAGUGCAGAGUUAGGCACUGGGCUGGGUGAGGGUCCUCGGCUGCUCACUUUCUAAUGGGAAAAGGGAAUUGUAUCUAAUGUAUCUUUCUAAUGUAUCAGGAAGCAGACAGGUCUCUCCUGCUGUGUUUAAUUCCCAUAAAGCAGGCAGGUAACUCACUACCUGCCUGGAUGCAGAUUUUUGCACUCUUUGCAGCAGGACGACACCUAUUUUCCCCACACCAAGCACCCCCAGCUGUAGAUUAGCUGUGCAGGAAGACCCUGGGGUGUGCAGAUAUAAAUACACUGAUGCUUGAUCAUGGCUUAAGUUAUUGUCCAUCUCAGCCACCAGUGAACCCCCUGCACCAUAUAUCAAGGGGGUAUACAUUUCUUCAUUCAUGAUAAAUUACCCAGAAAGGCUAGAUUCCAGCAGGUUCAGCCACAAUUUAUUAUCGGAGGCUGAAGAACAAACAGACUGUCAUUUCCCAGCUGCCCAGGACACAUGUUUGAAUGGAGAUUGGGACUCCCCGGGCUCCGCUGAUCCUCCCUAGAUUUCAGAACCAGACCUUCUGAGCAUCUUCCUUGGACUUCCUCUCAGCAGUGAGGACAUCCAAAAUGAGUCGUGAUUCAGCAAGAUGAAGUUCACACAGACUUGGUUUGACAUCUCCACGCUUCUGUCGGGGCAUCUCAUUUCCUGAAAUGUUGAUAUUCGUCUCCACUCGAAACUGCAGUCCAGGCAGCUGCCCUUCUUGUGGUUUUGCCUCCCGUUUUGAGGCACUGUGCCUGACUGUUCGUUCACUUGAUCAUUGACUUGGCUUUGACUCUGGAUGAUAUUUGACCAACACAUUCUGUACACCAGUCCAUCUGGGGAUCACUAACGGGCAGAAACCUGGUUUUGAUUUUCAUCUUGUUUUGUGAGCCACUCUAGUUUAUGCGUGAGCUUCUUAUCCCCAAAUCAUGCUUUAGUUCAGCCAUCGUUGAUGACCCUGGUUUAUAUAGCCAACAGUUUGGAAGACCCCCUCUCCUGGUCUCAGUUGUCCUCCAGCCUACUAUCUCUGGACCAUGCAACAUCCAGUGACAGAUAAUCCAGCCAGUGUGGGCUGCCCCUUGUGUCAACACAAUCACUUCUAGACAAAGAAUCGGAAACGCUGGGGAAUUUAUUUGCCAGAGGUGCGACAGUCAACGAUGAAAUUCAACCUCGGAUCUUUUUGCUCUAAACACGGAGUGCCCAUUGCCCAUCACUUAUUGCUUGAUGCCAGUGAGUCUCCAGUUUUGCCAGAAAUCCUUUGAACUGUGCUAGCUUCAUGGAAUCCCCUCAUGGAAUCCUAAGGAACAAGACACCGGCGAGGCAGUUUGAAAACACAAAGGGCUUCAGGACAAUUGUGAAGGAAAGCGGAACAGAUCAUUGUACCAACUACCCCAGGGGAAAGCACACCGUGCAAAGAAAUCCCUGAGGAGGGCCGAGUGGAAUACCAUCCCUAGGCACACCUUUAAUCAAACUUCAAAGGAAAGACAGCCCAUUCCCUUUGGAAGCCAUUAUAUAAUGAAGUCAGCCCUGCUUUCAACUCCUAAACUAA